GGUAUUGGGAGGGAGGGAUGCCUGUUUGAGUGUCAUGGAAUUCUCAACCUUCUCUCACUUUUGUGGUGGAGGCUUGGACUUGGGGGUCGUGUCGGCUUGCGAAAGUCGACUCCUCUGAAAUGCAUUAGUGCGAGCUUACGGAUGCUUCGGUGUGAUAAUUGUACGCCGUGGUGUGAAGUAUCUCUGUGUUCGCGCUUCUAACCGUCCGCGAGGACAACAUUUUAACAUCUGACCUCAAAUCAGGUAGGACUACCCGCUGAACUUAAGCAUAUCAAUAAGCGGAGGAAAAGAAACUAACAAGGAUUCCCCUAGUAACUGCGAGUGAAGCGAAAAGCUCAAAUUUAAAAUCUGGUAGCCUUCGGUUGCCCGAGUUGUAGUCUGGAGAACGUCUUCCGCGCUGGACCGUGUACAAGUCUCUUGGAACAGAGCGUCAUAGAGGG
rnacentral:rRNA from 1 species